ensembl:miRNA microRNA 20a
UAAAGUGCUUAUAGUGCAGGUAGUGUUUCGUUAUCUACUGCAUUAUGAGCACUUAAAGU